UUUGAAAUCUGCCGCAAGGCCGAGUUGUAAUUUCGUAGAAGAUGCUUUGGGUAUGGCCCCGGUCUAAGUUCGUUGGAACACGACGUCAUAGAGGGUGAGAAUCCCGUAUGUGACUGGGUGCUUUUGCCUAUGUAAAGCUCUUUCGACGAGUCGAGUUGUUUGGGAAUGCAGCUCAAAAUGGGUGGUAUAUUUCAUCUAAAGCUAAAUAUUGGCCAGAGACCGAUAGCGCACAAGUAGAGUGAUCGAAAGAUGAAAAGCACUUUGGAAAGAGAGUUAAACAGUACGUGAAAUUGUUGAAAGGGAAGCGCUUGCAACCAGACUUGCACGCUGUUGAUCAUCCAGGCUUCUGUUUGGUGCACUCAACUGCGUUCAGGCCAGCAUCGGUUUUGGUGGUGGGAUAAAGGCCUUGGGAAUGUAGCUUCUUUCGGGGAGUGUUAU
rnacentral:rRNA from 1 species